GGUUCCCAGGACGUUAACUUUUCCUGUCAUCUAUUACUGUAGGCAACCAUUCAUCCAACUGUACAGUGGUAGAUUGCUUGCCUGAUGACAUACGUAAGCUCCUGGAAGAGAAAGCAAAAACAAUGAAUAUACCAACAGACAUGAGAAACAUUCUCAAUAUUAAAACAAUGUGCAAGAAUGUGAUCUUUCAUGAAGCUGUUCUGGAUACCUACAUUAGUGUGGAAAAGAAAGCCAUCCAUGGCAUUAUAAAUAUGAAUAAUUCUGAGCAAUCCAAGACGUGCUAUCAGGAGGAUCUUUCCAUCCUUGCGGUUAAGAUGAAUUUAAGCAAGACAAAUGAUUUUGUACAAAUCGCCGCUCCAGGGGUAAGACUCUUGCCCCAUAUUGUAUAUGCUAAAAGUCCAAGCUGACAUAAUUCUGUAAGUUACUAAACUGCUGUAAGUGAUUUCUUCAUUUUUCAUUUUUAUCAAUAGCGACUUAAACAUUUUCAAAUUGAAGUCUUCUAAAGCAUUUAUCAAACUAAGCACCUCUAAAGGUAAAUCAUACCAUCACAAACUUUGGUUUAAAGAAAAGGCAUUUCAAAAUCUCACAUAAAUACGAGUGUACUUAGCAACGUGGUCUUGCAUGACCAAAAUACCUGCUCAAAGGCAUUGCUAAUAUGGCUGCUUUGAUGCCAGAACAGAAGUGACAACAGGAGGAAACGUGGAUCUAGUUGUAGGAUGAUUUAUUAAACAAUACAGGCAAAUAACAGGAGACAAACUAAGCACGAUCACAGCUUGGUGAAUGAGACAUGAAGAGCAAAAAAUUUACCUCUUAUCUCUGAUUGUGGCUGUGCGUCUUUUUUUUUUAUUUAUUAUUAUUAUUAUGACAAAUGGUUAUACCUUAGAAAGUGUAGACGGCAUUUUGAAUUUUUCUUGGAUAAAAAUAAGGCUGUGAGGGAUAAACCUAGUCUUUACAAUGGCACACACUGUGCAUAAAAGCCAUACAUGUAGACUACUUUCCAUAACUCUCAGCCAACUCACAACUUUUUUUAUUUUUG
ensembl:lncRNA